rnacentral:rRNA from 1 species
ACGCUUGAAGUCAGUCACGUCUGCCAGGACUCAGCCUUGCUUCUGCUUGGUGUACUUUCUGGUUUGAUGGGCCAACAUCAAUUUCGACCAUUGGAGAAAGGCUUUGGGAAUGUGGCACCUUCGGGUGUGUUAUAGCCCUUUGUUGUAUACAAUGGUUGGGAUUGAGGACUGCAGCAUGCCUUCAUGGCCGGGGCUCGCCCACGUACGUGCUUAGGAUGUUGGCAUAAUGGCUUUAAGCGACCCGUCUUGAAACACGGACCAAGGAGUC